rnacentral:rRNA from 1 species
UACGGAGGGUGCAAGCGUUAUCCGGAUUUACUGGGCUUAAAGGGUGUGUAGGCGGACUUUUAAGUCAGCGGUGAAAUCUCCGGGCUCAACCCGGAAACUGCCAUUGAUACUAUUAGUCUUGAAUAUUGUUGAGGUAGGCGGAACGGGUCAUGUAGCGGUGAAAUGCAUAGAUAUGACCCGGAACACCGAUUGCGAAGGCAGCCUACUAAGCAAUUAUUGACGCUGAGGCACGAAAGCGUGGGGAUCAAACAGG